UUCCGGUUGAUCCUGCCGGACCUGACUGCUAUCGGAUUGAUACUAAGCCAUGCGAGUCAUUGUAGCAAUACAAGGCAGACGGCUCAGUAACGCGUAGUCAACCUAACCUAUGGACGGGAAUAACCUCGGGAAACUGAGAAUAAUGCCCGAUAGAACACUAUGCCUGGAAUGGUUUGUGUUCCAAAUGAUUUAUCGCCGUAGGAUGGGACUGCGGCUUAUCAGUUUGUUGGUGAGGUAAUGGCCCACCAAGACUAUUACAGGUACGGGCUCUGAGAGGAGUGGCCCGGAGAUGGGUACUGAGACACGGACCCAGGCCCUAUGGGGCGCAGCAGGCGAGAAAACUUUGCAAUGUGCGAAAGCACGACAAGGUUAAUCCGAGUGGUUUCUGCUAAAGGAACCUUUUGUCGGUCCUAGAAACACCGAUGAAUAAGGGGUGGGCAAGUUCUGGUGUCAGCCGCCGCGGUAAAACCAGCACCUCAGGUGGUCAGGAUGAUUAUUGGGCCUAAAGCAUCCGUAGCCUGCUUUGUUAGUUUUCGGUUAAAUCUGUACGCUCAACGUGCAGGCUGCCGGGAAUACUGCAAAGCUAGGGAGUGGGAGAGGUAGACGGUACUCGGUAGGAAGGGGUAAAAUCCUUUGAUCUAUUGAUGACCACCUGUGGCGAAGGCGGUCUACCAGAACACGUCCGACGGUGAGGGAUGAAAGCUGGGGGAGCAAACCGGAUUAGAUACCCGGGUAGUCCCAGCUGUAAACCAUGCAAACUCAGUGAUGCAUUGGCUUGUGGCCAAUGCAGUGCUGCAGGGAAGCCGUUAAGUUUGCCGCCUGGAAAGUACGUACGCAAGUAUGAGACUUAAAGGAAUUGGCGGGGGAGCACCACAAGGGGUGAAGCCUGCGGUUCUAUUGGAUUCAACGCCGG
rnacentral:rRNA from 1 species